UUCCAGAUGGUAUUUCUGGAAGAACUAGGGAUACAACAGAGAACACAACAGAUAAAGUCACCACUCUCAUGUGGCAUAUAUUCCAGCGGGGAGGAGCAGACCGACAGCAGAAUGGGUCAACGUAAGGAACGGCAGAUAACGGGCUGGACGAACUGAAGAAAGAUGAACUCGGGCAGCAGCCAAGAACUGAGAGGAGGGGGUCAGCAGAUUCCCUAACUUCUCUCCUCCGCUACCUCUUGGAGUUUAUGUCCUCAUUUCAAUUAAACAAGCCUUUGUUAAAACCUUA